GAACAACAGUCGACAUGUUCCCCAAAAGAGUAAUUCAAAUUCGCGACAACCAAUCAACGGUACAAGAUGUUAUUCUCAUGAAUGAACGGUAAAACAUUUACUUUUGUCGCACAUUUACUAUUGCCAGCCCCAAAAUAUCUUUUAGUUAUUACAUAUUAAAUAUAAUUUGAAACCUUCCAGGUUUGAAACAUGCAUGCUUCAAAUGUGGGACAAUUUCGUCACAAAUGAAUGUAAUAUCAUCCACAACACAAUCACCAAAAAACCAAUUGUUGUGAGCAACAGAUUAAGAGUAAUUUCUUUCAAUGGUAAAUUGACUCCUUGUACACAAUCACACUGACAUGUUUCAAAACUCUACAUGCAAAAACUCAAUUCACUCUCUAUUUAGGUAUAUCCGUCUCUACAAAAAUCAACUCAUCAAUACUCAUUAAUCCCCCAUUUGAGCAAGUUCUUGAACUAAAGCACUAGUACAUUCUUUCACCUUUCCACUUACAUACUUACAUCUAUUGUAAUUAUUACUCUUAAUUUUCUUAUUUACUUUUAACAAUUUCAUUUUCACAUCAACAUCAGGUUAGAGGACAACAUGAGCACAAUAAAUGACAUCGUGACAAGAAAGGCGUAUAUCUUCCCCACAUCCACCACAAUUUCUUGCCCACCAGAGGAAAAGUUAGUCAAUAUCAAAUAGCUUCAACAAUUCCAACAUAUGGUACACCAAAUCACCACACCUUCUCACUUACAUUUUACAUCUAUCCCCAACUUAUAUUUUUCUUAAACACGUUAUUAUACACAUUACAUCAACGACACUUCUGGACAAGAACAAAUGUCACAUUGGCUGAAAUUAACCAACCACUAUGGUGUCUAUCAUAUGACAAUUGCAACAAAUUUGCAAGUGCAGCUGUGAACGAAACUUAUUUUUGUAGAUUCUGCAAGCACAACUAUGCUACACCGACUCCAAGGUCAGAUUAUAUUCAAGUCACAAGUACAUCGUCUAUGUGAAUAGAUGCAUUAUUCAUCAUCUAAUGAUAAUCAAAUACAUCUCAAAACUCUAACAAUGAUUCCACUUGUACUCUAAUAGAGCAAGAGCAGUCGUUCAAUUACAGGACUCCAUAGGAUCAAUCACAGCAUCAAUUAUUGGAAAACCAGCUGAAACAUUCCUCAAAUGCCCAGCAACAGAAUUGAUGAAACAAGAUUCUGAGAUAACUAUCUCAAUUACAUUUUCCUGCCUACUAAUCUUUUCCUUCCAAUGAAUAUACUAAUAACCACUUCUAAUGAACAUCACAGCAAAAACAUAUGGAAAGCAGCUAUACAAUACCACCAACAACUGCAAAUGAGCACAUCGUAUACAUCAAAGCUGUAAAUAUAGAGACAACCACCAACAAGACACCAUAUGAAGUCAUCUUCAUCCUUGACUCACACCUCCAAGAUGACGACCAAUUGCUCACCAACAUCAUACAACCAGGCACUUCACAUGAAGCUCACAACCAUGCAAACAAAAAACAAAAGCAAGAGUAGUUGUUCAACACCUAAAAAUACAUAUUUUGUAUUUCUUUUGCACGCUUGUGUCCAGAGUCAAGCAAACCCGAUUCCCAGUAUUUCUAUUUGCCAUACUAAAUUUUGUUCGUUGUCCAUAUUAACAUGUUAGAAACCAUGUACCCAUGUAUGGCACGCAACAUCUCUGUGUAUGGCACCUAAGAACUCUGUUUUGUACUUUAUAUUACUUUUGCCAAUGUAACUACUUGUGGACAAAUAUUUUAUAUAAUCUAAUGUAAUCAUCC
rnacentral:lncRNA from 1 species